GGUAGCGUGGCCGAGCUCUCUUCGGGGGCGUGGGUUCGAAUCCCACCGCUGCCA
rnacentral:tRNA from 1 species